GGUUGUGAAGCUAAGCAUUG
rnacentral:misc_RNA from 1 species